rnacentral:rRNA from 1 species
GACGAACGCUGGCGGCGUGCUUAACACAUGCAAGUCGAACGGAAAGGCCCUGCCUUUGUGUGGUGCUCAAGUGGCGAAAGGGUGAGUAACACGCGAGUAACCUGCCCCUGACUUUGGGAUAACUUCAGGAAACUGGGGCUCAUACCCGAUAGGUGCUCCUGCUGCAUGGUGGGGGUUGGAAAGUUUCGUCGGUGGGGGAUGGACUCGCGUCUUCUCCGCUGUUCGGUUGGGUAGUGGCUUACCCAGGCUUUGACGGGUGGCCGGCCUGAGAUGGUGACAGGCCACAUUGGGACUGAGAUAGGGCCCAGGCUGCUACGGGGGGCAGCAGUGGGGAAUAUUGCGCAAGGGGCUGAGGCCUGAUGCGGCAACUCCGCGUGCGGGAUGACGGCCUUCGGGUUGUAAACCGCUUUCGCCUGUGACGAAGCGUGAGUGACGGUAAUGGGUAAAGAAGCACCGGCUAACUACGUG